UGAGGAGAUAGGGAUAGGAAUAGACUCUUAUCCCCCUUUAUACCCAAACACUAAUUUUUUAUCCGAAAAUAGUAGUUCUCGGUUAUCCCCACCAAUACUUCAUUUUCUAUAUAAAACUAUCUAAAAUUAUUCUUAUCUCCGGGAACAAUCCAAUUUUCAUUCAAACGCUAUUUUUCUUAUCUCCAUACUUGUACCUAUCCCUGUAAUAGCUAGUUCUUACUUAUACCCGAACCAAACGGUACCUUUGAUAUAUAUAU
rnacentral:lncRNA from 1 species